rnacentral:rRNA from 1 species
GACGAACGCUGGCGGCGUGCCUAAUACAUGCAAGUCGAACGCAGUGGGGACGGGUGAGUAACACGUUGGUAACCUUCCAUCAGAGGGGAUAACACUUGGAAACAGGCGCUAAACUGAUACUGAUGGAUGGACCCGCGGUGGAUGAGCUAGUCGGUGAGGGAACGGCUCACCAAGGCCACGAUGCAUAGCGGACCUGAGAGGAUGAUCGGCCACACUGGGACUGAGACACGGCCCAGACUCCUACGGGAGGCAGCAGUGGGGAAUGUUCGGCAAGGGGCGAAAGUCUGACCUAGCCACGCCGCGUGAGUGAAGAAGGUUUUCGGAUCGUAAAGCUCUGUUGUUAGAGAAGCGGUAUCUGACGAAAAAGCCACGGCUAACUACGUGCCAGCAGCCGCGGUAAUUC